UAGGGAAUCUUCGGCAAUGGGGGCAACCCUGACCGAGCAACGCCGCGUGAGUGAAGAAGGUUUUCGGAUCGUAAAGCUCUGUUGUAAGAGAAGAACGAGUGUGAGAGUGGAAAGUUCACACUGUGACGGUAACUUACCAGAAAGGGACGGCUAACUACGUGCCAGCAGCCGCGGUAAUACGUAGGUCCCGAGCGUUAUCCGGAUUUAUUGGGCGUAAAGCGAGCGCAGGCGGUUAGAUAAGUCUGAAGUUAAAGGCUGUGGCUUAACCAUAGUACGCUUUGGAAACUGUUUAACUUGAGUGCAGAAGGGGAGAGUGGAAUUCCAUGUGUAGCGGUGAAAUGCGUAGAUAUAUGGAGGAACACCGGUGGCGAAAGCGGCUCUCUGGUCUGUAACUGACGCUGAGGCUCGAAAGCGUGGGGAGCAAACAGGAUUAGAUACCCUGGUAGUCCACGCCGUAACGAUGAGUGCUAGGUGUUGGGUCCUUUCCGGGACUCAGUGCCGCAGCUAACGCAUUAAGCACUCCGCCUGGGGAGUACGACCGCAAGGUUG
rnacentral:rRNA from 1 species